GUGAUGUAGAUGGUGGUGGUGUUGGUGGUGGUGGUAGUGGUGGUAGUUUUGGUGAUGUAGAUGGUGGUGGUGCUGGUGGUGGUGGUAGUUGUGGUGAUGUAGAUGGUGGUGGUGGUGGUGGUGGUGGUAGUUUAGGUGAUGUAGAUGGUGGUGGUGUUGGUGGUGGUGGUAGUUUAGGUGAUGUAGAUGGUGGUGGUGUUGGUGUUGGUGGUAGUUGUGGUGAUGUAGAUGGUUGUGGUGUUGGUGUUGGUGGCAGUUGUGGUGAUGUAGAUGGUGGUGGUGUUGGUGGUGGUGGUAGUUUAGGUGAUGUAGAUG
ensembl:lncRNA